CUCCUGCCCCAGGCAAAGGGCUGAUUUCCUGAGUACACAUUAAUCUGAGCUCCCUCAGCCCUAGGGGUAGGGGGAUUGGGGGCACAAGAUGGGUGGAGCCAGAUAGGGAAGAUUCCCCCAGUGUUGUCCUGCUCCCAGUCCAGGUUUGGGACAAUGCCGGCAGCGUUUCCCUGUGUCUUUCCCCCACAAAGUCUCCAAGUCUCUCCUCAAAUGAGCUCCAAGGCUUGGGAGAAACAAUCUCUUCCUCUGCCCGGGUUGCGUGGAUCUCCAGUGGAAAGGAAGAACCGGAACUAUGAUUUGUGCCUUCCUUAUUGCCUCCGAAAUAUUUUUAACUGCAGAGGAAAGCCUGUAUUAUUUUGGAGAAAGGCGAACAGAUAAAACGCACAGCAGUAAAUUUCAGGGACUAGAAACUCCUUCUCAGUAGAGACAAGGUUUCACCCUGUUGGCGAGGCUGGUCUCAAACUCCUGACGCCCAGUGAUCUGCCCACCUCGGCCUCCCAAAGUGCUGGGAUUACAGGCGGGAGCCACCAUGAUGGCCAACUUUUGAAUUCUGAACCAGUUGAUUGAGUACCAGAGCUCUUCAAUACCUUGAAGAAAGAUUCAGGGGAGAGCCGUUGUGAACAGCUUGCCCCAGGGAAAGGACAAGGCUGAGAGAAUUCCAGGGCUUCCUUGAGAAAACAGAAUUGAGGAAAUGCAAAGUGAAGAAUUCUAGCAUCAGGAACAAGAGAAGAAUGAUGGAAAACCUGCUACUGAGAUAUGUUGGAUAUUUUGCACAAGUGAAACAUCUCUACAACUGGAAUCUCCCUCCAAGACGGAUACUCUUUAUAAUAAGAUUCAUUAUUUAUUCGAUUCGUGAUACUGCAUGACAUUGAAACAGCUGGUGUAUUAACUAAUGUAUAUGACAGUCCAUCUCUGUACGAUGAUGUGAAAGUGCAGUUUUUCUCUUCGGCUUUAUCUACCAAGAAAUGAAUUGGAUAAUCCACAUCAACAAAAAGCAUGGAAAAUUUAUCCACCAGAAUUUGCCGUGGAGAUACUUUUUGGCGAGAAAUGACUUCCAAUGACGUAGCUGGAUCCGAUUAAGUAUAGUUUCCCCUUCCCCUUCUGGGAAAGAAUUAAUGUUCUUUCCAACCCCUGCCAUGUGCAUGUUCAUAUGUCCUAAGUCUUCCUUGAUGAUGUAUCUAUAUUUAUAUAUGUUUAUAUAUGUUCUUCAUAAAUCUAUUAAAUAUAUAUAGAUAAA
rnacentral:lncRNA from 10 species